CGAAAAUGCUCUUGUAAUCGCUUCGAAGUAUCAGGCGAACAGAAACGUCAGAAUCUAUAUAUGAAAGUGUAAUGUUACUCGUGCACAAUGUAUGGUGUCUAUAACGAAUUCAAAUAACCUCAAUGUGCUUAUAACUUGUAAGGAAACAAGAAAAAAAAAUUAAAUGAAAUAUAUUAUUGAUGAAUUAUGUAAAGGCAGUUGUAUUUAACUGUCUUGUCAGAAAUGUACAUUAAACAGAAAAACAGAGAUGAUGAAUAGAAGAUCGAAAUCCAGAGCGAUAUGUCUAUCCAGAUUUUUCAUGUCUGCAAUGAAUCAUGCUGUGCAUUUUCUGAGCUUAGAACUUAUGAUGGAUUGCCUCCAACGCAGACUAUAGGAGUACCUUUAACUGGAACUAACCUACAAAGUACAAUUAAGGAAGAUGAAAUAUCUGAGCAUGAACAUUAUAAUGAAAUAAAAUAAGUUUUAAAUACAUUUUAAUUAUAUUUUGAUAAAUAUACUUUAAGGCAAAUUAAAGUUGUCUGUG